GCCCUUGUCAGCAGCGUCAGCAAACUAGAGCACGCCGCAUGGGCAACCUUGCUGACAUCGGCACCACAUAGGAAGCCAUGCGAGUGAUCCAUGUGCCCGACGAUUCGACGGUCCGGAUCUCAUCCCGCGCACGUGAACGGACCAGAUACGUUUUUUCUUUAGGUGCAAUCGAACGGUCAUAUUCAAUUCGAUCGUGCGAUCGAGAUUCAUUUUCUGAAUAAGAUAGAUCUAACGGACGAGAGAGAACUACGUAUUCUCAAACGGACGGUCCAGAUCAACACGAGAUGAGCAUUUAAACAUCACGUUCUAUGGAACCUUAACCCUAGCCGCACAUGCCCUCGUCGAAUAAGAAGAAUCAGACUUUGGAUAAGGAGAUCGACCAAUGGCCACUGCUGCACCGGAACCACUGUCGACCGUCAAAAAAGGUAAAAAAAAUUUCUCGCUGCUCGGAAUUCAAUUCCGAGCCUCCCUGUAACCAUAUCGGAGUAAAAGGGACGGCGAGUAAUAAAGCCCAGCAGAGUCGCCACGACCAAAAUUGUAAACCCUCUCUGAUGAUUCCCUUCCCGUUUUCCGUUUCAUAUGAUUCUUUGACUAUUGUGUUCAUAGUUCCUUUCUAUGCAGGUUAGUCGAAAAAGAAACCCAACUGCGAAGGAAAACUAGCGAAGCCGCCGCACCUAGAGACACCCAUCCUCAGCUGGUAAGUACGAUUUUUUUAUUUUUCUAGCCAACAGAGGCUUCCUAAAGUAUUUUUUUGCAGGGAUAUGUGUAAAACUGGCCAAAACUGACAAAAAUCAGUCAAGCUGAUGUGCAUCAUCACUGUCUGUAUGUCUAUUUAUUUUUCUAUACUGCUUCAAUUGUAUAUUGUUCUCCUGUAUGAUUUAAAUUAUUAUGUU
rnacentral:lncRNA from 1 species